rnacentral:misc_RNA from 1 species
UGAUACCUUCACCAAGUUCGGCGACGGGUCACUCUUAACGUCACGCCCAUUUCAUCGGGCAAGCCCUCGUCGCUUGCUCCUCGUGCUGUGUGCAGAGGCAAAGGAAAAAGGGAAAGAUUAGCAAACUUGAAGCAUGUGGUGCCUCUCGCGUGUGGCGCUCCAGUCGAAUCGCGCGGCGCUCUACAUGCCGUACACCCCCGUAGCGGCUAACCCGGUCGUCUAUUUUGACAUCACCGCCGAAGGCGACGCGCUUGGGCGCGUGUCGGUGGAGCUGUUUAGGGACGUUGUGCCGAGAACAAGCGAGAACUUCCGCUCGCUGUGCACCGGCGAGCGCGGAUAUGGCCAGUGCUUGUUGUACUACAAGGGAACCCCGUUUCAUCGCAUUAUUCCAGGGUUUGUCAUGCAAGGCGGCGACAUUCUCACCAAGGACGGCCGCAGCAACGUUAGCGUCUUUGGUUAUCCGUUUCCGGAUGAGUCUUUUGAGGGAAAGGCCGGGAAGCAUUUGCCCGGCACUGUCGGCAUGGCGCACAGUGGGCCGAAUCAAAACGGAUCCCAGUUUUUCUUCAACCUGGGGCGCAAUGAGCAGCUCGAUCGUAAGUUUGUCGUUGUAGGGCAGGUGCUGGGGGGCUGGGAGAUCGUUAACCAGGUAGUAAAACUGUGCGGCUCGCGCUGUGGGACUCCCGUGAGUCGUGCCUGGAUCUCUGACUGCGGUCAGAGUGGCGGCUACAUGGCGGAAGAGACACAGGAGGCCCUACAGGGCGAGCGCGCUCAGCAUGUGAUGCCAGGCAAGGAAGUUCUCGACUUAAUUCAACCGCGGUACUAACUCCGAGGAUGGUGGAGGUGGCCGCGGGCCAGAACUCUCAUUAUGUGUUGUGUGUGCCUAGCUGUUGGUGUACGGGUGCAUAGAGCGGUGACCCUGCUCACAACG